CUUGCCUUAAGAUUUAUGACUUUAAAAUUAUUAAAUACGAGGACCUAUUUAUUUUAAAAUGACAACAUUUCUAUGAUAAAAACUUCAAUGGUCAAGUUAAUUGGAUAACAUUUGAUAGAUGAAGGACUCAUUUCAAAGUUGUUUUUGUUCGGGGACCUAAUUAAAAAUCAUGUGAUAUUCAGGAGACAAACUUUCCUGAUAAUAAUUAAUAUAGUCUAAAUAACUCUAACAUUAAAAAAACAUACACCGACAAAUCAAGCACACGCAAAAUAAACAUCAAUAUUCAAAAAAGUUGAGACCAAGAUGUAAUUUCUGAAUUUAUAGGGACCAAUCUGUUAAUUUAUUAAGAGAAUAGUGACUGAGCUAUAAUUUACUCACCCGAGGGGAAAAAAAAUCUACAAAAACUUCCCAGAAAAGACAGCAGAUGCGGCCAAGUCGUCGAAGGGAACUAAACUCCAAACUCCUAGCUAUAAAAUCUUUGCAUGUAAAAGGAAAUCAGCCCUUCACCACAAAAAAUAAUAAUAAUAAAAUACUCUAAUAAGUAGUAAUACCCUAGAAAAAAAAGAAAAAAAGAAUAGAGGGAGCCAGAGCAUUCCUUAAAGAGACACAGAACCACCCCAGCCCACCCCUACGAAAAAAAAAAAAAAAAAUCUCAAUCGGAGACUCCAAAAGGGAUAAAAAGGAGCUGGAGAGUGAAAGACCUGUCAAUCA
rnacentral:lncRNA from 1 species